rnacentral:rRNA from 1 species
GGUUAAGCGACUAAGCGUACACGGUGGAUGCCCUGGCAGUCAGAGGCGAUGAAGGACGUGCUAAUCUGCGAUAAGCGUCGGUAAGGUGAUAUGAACCGUUAUAACCGGCGAUUUCCGAAUGGGGAAACCCAGUGUGUUUCGACACACUAUCAUUAACUGAAUCCAUAGGUUAAUGAGGCGAACCGGGGGAACUGAAACAUCUAAGUACCCCGAGGAAAAGAAAUCAACCGAGAUUCCCCCAGUAGCGGCGAGCGAACGGGGAGCAGCCCAGAGCCUGAAUCAGUGUGUGUGUUAGUGGAAGCGUCUGGAAAGGCGCGCGAUACAGGGUGACAGCCCCGUACACAAAAAUGCACAUGCUGUGAGCUCGAUGAGUAGGGCGGGACACGUGGUAUCCUGUCUGAAUAUGGGGGGACCAUCCUCCAAGGCUAAAUACUCCUGACUGACCGAUAGUGAACCAGUACCGUGAGGGAAAGGCGAAAAGAACCCCGGCGAGGGGAGUGAAAAAGAACCUGAAACCGUGUACGUACAAGCAGUGGGAGCACGCUUAGGCGUGUGACUGCGUACCUUUUGUAUAAUGGGUCAGCGACUUAUAUUCUGUAGCAAGGUUAACCGAAUAGGGGAGCCGAAGGGAAACCGAGUCUUAACUGGGCGUUAAGUUGCAGGGUAUAGACCCGAAACCCGGUGAUCUAGCCAUGGGCAGGUUGAAGGUUGGGUAACACUAACUGGAGGACCGAACCGACUAAUGUUGAAAAAUUAGCGGAUGACUUGUGGCUGGGGGUGAAAGGCCAAUCAAACCGGGAGAUAGCUGGUUCUCCCCGAAAGCUAUUUAGGUAGCGCCUCGUGAAUUCAUCUCCGGGGGUAGAGCACUGUUUCGGCAAGGGGGUCAUCCCGACUUACCAACCCGAUGCAAACUGCGAAUACCGGAGAAUGUUAUCACGGGAGACACACGGCGGGUGCUAACGUCCGUCGUGAAGAGGGAAACAACCCAGACCGCCAGCUAAGGUCCCAAAGUCAUGGUUAAGUGGGAAACGAUGUGGGAAGGCCCAGACAGCCAGGAUGUUGGCUUAGAAGCAGCCAUCAUUUAAAGAAAGCGUAAUAGCUCACUGGUCGAGUCGGCCUGCGCGGAAGAUGUAACGGGGCUAAACCAUGCACCGAAGCUGCGGCAGCGACGCUGAUGCGUUGUUGGGUAGGGGAGCGUUCUGUAAGCCUGCGAAGGUGUGCUGUGAGGCAUGCUGGAGGUAUCAGAAGUGCGAAUGCUGACAUAAGUAACGAUAAAGCGGGUGAAAAGCCCGCUCGCCGGAAGACCAAGGGUUCCUGUCCAACGUUAAUCGGGGCAGGGUGAGUCGACCCCUAAGGCGAGGCCGAAAGGCGUAGUCGAUGGGAAACAGGUUAAUAUUCCUGUACUUGGUGUUACUGCGAAGGGGGGACGGAGAAGGCUAUGUUGGCCGGGCGACGGUUGUCCCGGUUUAAGCGUGUAGGCUGGUUUUCCAGGCAAAUCCGGAAAAUCAAGGCUGAGGCGUGAUGACGAGGCACUACGGUGCUGAAGCAACAAAUGCCCUGCUUCCAGGAAAAGCCUCUAAGCAUCAGGUAACAUCAAAUCGUACCCCAAACCGACACAGGUGGUCAGGUAGAGAAUACCAAGGCGCUUGAGAGAACUCGGGUGAAGGAACUAGGCAAAAUGGUGCCGUAACUUCGGGAGAAGGCACGCUGAUAUGUAGGUGAAGUCCCUCGCGGAUGGAGCUGAAAUCAGUCGAAGAUACCAGCUGGCUGCAACUGUUUAUUAAAAACACAGCACUGUGCAAACACGAAAGUGGACGUAUACGGUGUGACGCCUGCCCGGUGCCGGAAGGUUAAUUGAUGGGGUUAGCGCAAGCGAAGCUCUUGAUCGAAGCCCCGGUAAACGGCGGCCGUAACUAUAACGGUCCUAAGGUAGCGAAAUUCCUUGUCGGGUAAGUUCCGACCUGCACGAAUGGCGUAAUGAUGGCCAGGCUGUCUCCACCCGAGACUCAGUGAAAUUGAACUCGCUGUGAAGAUGCAGUGUACCCGCGGCAAGACGGAAAGACCCCGUGAACCUUUACUAUAGCUUGACACUGAACAUUGAGCCUUGAUGUGUAGGAUAGGUGGGAGGCUU